GACGAACGCUGGCGGCGUGCUUAACACAUGCAAGUCGAGCGGUAAGGCCCUUUCGGGGGUACACGAGCGGCGAACGGGUGAGUAACACGUGGGUGACCUGCCCUCAGCUCUGGGAUAAGCCUGGGAAACCGGGUCUAAUACUGGAUAUGACUCCAUGACGCAUGUUGUGGGGUGGAAAGCCUUGUGCGGCUGAGGAUGGGCCCGCGGCCUAUCAGCUUGUUGGUGGGGUGANGGCCUACCAAGGCGACGACGGGUAGCCGGCCUGAGAGGGCGACCGGCCACACUGGGACUGAGACACGGCCCAGACUCCGUACGGGAGGCAGCGAGUGGGGAAUCUUGCGCAAUGGGCGAAAGCCUGACGCAGCGACGCCGCGUGAGGGAUGACGGCCUGGUU
rnacentral:rRNA from 1 species